AAUCAACGCUGGCGGCGUGCCUCAGACAUGCAAGUCGAACGAGAAGGCUCCUUCGGGAGCCGGAAAGUGGCGCACGGGUGAGUAACACGUGGGUAAUUUACCUUCGGGUGGGGAACAACAGCCGGAAACGGCUGCUAAUACCGCAUAAUGCAGCGGCACCUAAUGGUGACAGUUGUUAAAGCGGGGGAUCGCAAGACCUCGCGCCUGAAGAGAAGCCCGCGGCAGAUUAGGUAGNGGUGAGGUAAUGGCUCACCAAGACCUGCGAUCUGUAGCCGGCCUGAGAGGGCGGUCGGGCCACACUGACACUGAACAACGGGUCAGACUCCUACGGGAGGCAGCAGUCGGGAAUUUUGGGCAAUGGGCGAAAGCCUGACCCAGCAACGCCGCGUGAAGGAUGUAAGUUUUCGGAA
rnacentral:rRNA from 1 species